rnacentral:rRNA from 1 species
AUUGAACGCUGGCGGCAUGCCUUACACAUGCAAGUCGAACGGUAACGCGGGGCAACCUGGCGACGAGUGGCGAACGGGUGAGUAAUGCAUCGGAACGUGCCCAGUAGUGGGGGAUAGCCCGGCGAAAGCCGGAUUAAUACCGCAUACGACUUAUGGGUGAAAGCGGGGGAUCGCAAGACCUCGCGCUAUUGGAGCGGCCGAUGUCAGAUUAGGUAGUUGGUGGGGUAAAGGCCUACCAAGCCUUCGAUCUGUAGCUGGUCUGAGAGGACGACCAGCCACACUGGGACUGAGACACGGCCCAGACUCCUACGGGAGGCAGCAGUGGGGAAGUUUGGACAAUGGGCGCAAGCCUGAUCCAGCCAUGCCGCGUGCGGGAAGAAGGCCUUCGGGUUGUAAACCGCUUUUGUCAGGGAAGAAACGCUCUGGGUUAAUACCUCGGGGUAAUGACGGUACCUGAAGAAUAAGCACCGGCUAACUACGUGCCAGCCGCCGCGGUAAGAC